GAAGAAAUCUGGUGUGUUCUGGGCUAAGGAGAAAAGAUCUGUGCCUGCUUCUUUCAAGGUGUUCAUGGGAUCUGAAUGGGUGAUGCUCUCGAGGCCAUUCCUUGAGUUCUGUAUUUGGGGUUGGGACAAUCUACCGCGCACUCUUCUGAUGUACUACACAAAUUUCUUGUAUUCUCUCGAGGGCUACUUCCACACCAUUGUCUGCAAUCACAAAGACUACCAGAACACGACAGUGAACCACGACUUACAUUACAUCAAAUGGGACAAUCCCCCAAAGCAGUAUCCUAUCAAUUUAACACUGAAGCACUUUGAGGACAUGAUCCAGAGCGGUGUCCCCUUUGCUCGUACUUUUGCUACUGAUGAUCCAGUUCUCGAUAAAAUUGACAAGGAAAUCUUAAGAAGGUUUCAUGGCGUGUUUUCG
rnacentral:misc_RNA from 1 species